AAUUUUGCGCAAUGGGCGAAAGCCUGACGCAGCAACGCCGCGUGAAUGAUGAAGCCCUUCGGGGUGUAAAGUUCUGUCAGUGGGGAAGAAUUUUGACUGUACCCACAAAGGAAGCACCGGCUAACUCCGUGCCAGCAGCCGCGGUAAUACGGAGGGUGCAAGCGUUGUCCGGAAUCAUUGGGCGUAAAGCGUUCGUAGGCGGCAUAUCAAGUCUGGUGUUAAAGCCCGGGGCUCAACUCCGGUUCGGCACUGGAUACUGAUAAGCUGGAAUGAGGUAGAGGUAAUGGGAAUUCCUGGUGUAGCGGUGAAAUGCGUAGAUAUCAGGAGGAACAUCGGUGGCGUAAGCGCAUUACUGGACCUUUAUUGACGCUGAGGAACGAAAGCCGGGGGAGCAAAUGGG
rnacentral:rRNA from 1 species